GACCGGCGCACGGGUGAGUAACACGUAUCCAACCUGCCGUCUACUCUUGGCCAGCCUUCUGAAAGGAAGAUUAAUCCAGGAUGGGAUCAUGAGUUCACAUGUCCGCAUGAUUAAAGGUAUUUUCCGGUAGACGAUGGGGAUGCGUUCCAUUAGAUAGUAGGCGGGGUAACGGCCCACCUAGUCAACGAUGGAUAGGGGUUCUGAGAGGAAGGUCCCCCACAUUGGAACUGAGACACGGUCCAAACUCCUACGGGAGGCAGCAGUGAGGAAUAUUGGUCAAUGGGCGAUGGCCUGAACCAGCCAAGUAGCGUGAAGGAUGACUGCCCUAUGGGUUGUAAACUUCUUUUAUAAAGGAAUAAAGUCGGGUAUGCAUACCCGUUUGCAUGUACUUUAUGAAUAAGGAUCGGCUAACUCCGUGCCAGCAGCCGCGGUAAUACGGAGGAUCCGAGCGUUAUCCGGAUUUAUUGGGUUUAAAGGGAGCGUAGAUGGAUGUUUAAGUCAGUUGUGAAAGUUUGCGGCUCAACCGUAAAAUUGCAGUUGAUACUGGAUGUCUUGAGUGCAGUUGAGGCAGGCGGAAUUCGUGGUGUAGCGGUGAAAUGCUUAGAUAUCACGAAGAACUCCGA
rnacentral:rRNA from 1 species